rnacentral:rRNA from 1 species
UACAGAGGUGGCAAGCGUUGUUCGGAAUUACUGGGCGUAAAGGGCGCGUAGGCGGCCUUCUAAGUCAGACGUGAAAUCCCCCGGCUUAACCUGGGAACUGCGUCUGAUACUGGGGAGGCUUGAGUAUGGGAGAGGGAUGUAGAAUUCCAGGUGUAGCGGUGAAAUGCGUAGAUAUCUGGAGGAAUACCGGUGGCGAAGGCGGCGUCUGGACGAUGACUGACGCUGAGACGCGAAAAGCGUGGGGAGCAAACAGG